AGCAGUGUGGUGUAUCGUGCACACGGGGCUUGUAUGAUGCGUCCAUGCAUGCCACCCCGAGGUCCUUGUUCGAACCAAGGUGCUGCUC